ncrna:Caenorhabditis remanei microRNA crm-mir-77 precursor (crm-mir-77-2)
GAGCUGUUAGUUUGGAUGGCUGUGCUCUGAGGAAACACGGUGUCAUUUCAUCAGGCCAUAGCUGUCCAAAACUCGUUUCCCCACU